AAAUAUCUCCUCUUUGGCCGGCUAGCUCUCCUCUCUUCUCACUUUGCUCUCUUUUUCUUUUUCAUUUUGUCUCAAACACCCACAAUCCUCUCUCACACUCCCUCACUCUCCCACCGGUGCAUCACUCCACCGCCUCCACCAUUAUCUUCCGGCGAAAAAGCUCCAUAAAACCUCUUAAGCUCCUACAUCUCAUCUUAUUUAAGAGUAGACAACAAUCUUUUAAGACAGUUUUUUGGUGGCUAACAGUAGUUAGACUAACUACUGAUGAAGGUUGAACUUUUAUAAUGGAGAUAUUAGAUGAUGUGCAUCUUAGAAUAGACUUAACUCAUUCUUUUGUAUAUUAUAGUGAUUGUGAUAUUAUUCCCACUGAUGGGACAAGCUGAUGAUAUAUAAUUAUUUAUUCAGACCUCUAUUCUUUUGUGGCCAAUGGUCCUUGUAAUUAUUGCUUAGAGUUCUGAGUUACUUUGAGAGUAUAAUUAAUGGGAUUAUUAUGAUAAUUCUUGA